GUAUAUGCCUACAUCAUAGCGUUAAUGCAUCAGAUCCCAUUUGAACUUUGCAGUUAAGUGCAAUCAGGCUCUAGAGUAGUACUAGGAUGGGUGACCACCCAAGAAGUCCUAGUUCUUUACAUGCC
rfam:Picea glauca, whole genome shotgun sequence.